rnacentral:lncRNA from 1 species
UGGUCCUGCUACAAGGCAUAGGCCUGAUAUUGAACUCUGUAUACGAGAAGCUGAAUCGUCAGCGUCGAGCUUUUUUGUCGUGUUAUAUUAAAAUCCCAAGGCCCAACCAUACUGUAACAUGUUGGUUUUUUGGCGCUGCUUGCAAGUUGUUACUUAAGACCACACAAGAAAGUCUGGGUAAUUAAUAAUAUUAAUUAUUAUUAUUAUGACUGAGGAGAGCCAGAAUUUCUAGCCAGAGGCAUGCAGAGCUUAAGGUUUAUUUGCUGCCCAUAAACAAAAACUAAAGCCAGAUUCGAUAUUGCCUCUGCCAUGCAUAAAACUAGGCGCCGUCAUUAAAUCGUCUUUAUUGUUUAUUUUCAGCCAAUGUCGUCUUCUCCACAACCCACUGCGGAUGUCAAAUCUCUCUGGGGAAUGUGCCAUUUCGAGUUGUGAAGGAAACAGUCAGUCUGCAAGUUCGGAAUGGAAUACUACAACAAGACUCAGGGAGAAAAAGACCAGGAUUCAAGCACCACUGACCACUGCCUGGCCGAAGGAGGUGUACGAGAAAAAGUGAAUGAACCUCCAAGGCGCAAAAAAGAGGGUUCAUGAGACUUUUCCCCUUUCCGUAGAACGGCUAUGUAGUACGCACCAUACUAACGACUGAUGCACCAUACAUCAGGUCGCAUGUUUUCGCGACAUGAUGGGCAAAAACUAGACAGCUCAACAUUGACUGUUUCGAGUUCCACGAUACUAAAGUACAUGUUGAGACUAAUUGAAAAAUACUAGCUGAUAAAUGCUAAGUUUAGACGAUUGCCUAUUUUCUUGUGCAUUCCUGUUACUUACGCAACCCCUCUUAAUAUCCCCAUUCCCAUAGGGUGCCAUUGAAAAAUGUUUUAAGUCUGGAUAAUGAAACAGCUCCCUCAAGUCACUAGUAUCAGUAUGUAUACCUAGAACAUUUCGCUGAAAGGGUAGUUCUCAUAAUUGCCCUCGAAAAUGGCCAGUUUGCCCAGCCUCUAAUUCCAGUCACAACUGUUGAAGUACUCUUGGCGAAAUUGCUCCACUGUGUAGGUAACCAUGCUUCACAUUUUCAAAAUAAACUCUUGGUGCACAUUA